rnacentral:tRNA from 1 species
GGGCCAGUAGCUCAGCGGUAGAGCGUCCCGCUCGCAGCGGGAAAGUCAGGAGUUCAAAUCUCCUCUGGUCCACCA